UCAUGCUCUUCAGUGACAUUGUGCAUAGGUCACCAUUAGUAAAAUCCCUGUAGUGAGAACAAAAAAAACUAAUGCCAUGGUAUUAGAAUAUGUUUACUUGCCUUUUAUGGUACAAACUAAAUUAGGAGAGGGUUAACCAUCCUAGGGGAGCCUAUAUUUAGUUUGGAAAUAACAUUUGUCAUUCUGUCAGUGUUUUUUCGCUUGGCCCUAUAUGUUUUGAAACGUAAAUUCUUCAUGGACAAAAGGGGCCCAAACAAUUGAGAAAACGGUCCUUACCUAGUUUAUCUUGUCUGUCAUUGUUUGGGAUUCUAUUCCUUUUGAUACAUUGUUCUGUUCAUGUCUCGUUUAGGUUCUGUUACAUCUUAGUUCUUUGUAUUUAAAAGUUAUCCACUGUGCAGUGUCCUUGCCUCCUACACACAACGUUCCAAUGACAAGCUGUGUCUUUUGACGCGACUACUUCAUUUUUUUGUCAUGUAUUUAAUGUUUUCAGCAUCUUAGGGCAUAUAGCAAGUGAAAUGUGGCCAACAGAGUUCGUCAUUUGGACCAGUAUGUUCUUUGAAACAGUGAAUGCCGUAUGGGCAAAACUGCUAAAGCAAUCAAGUAAAACUGCAAUAUUAUAUCAUAAUAAGCACCCUAAUUGCAAGCGAGAUCUAGCAAGGAAGCUAAUCUCACAUUUUCUGCAAUUUACAACAAAUCCAAAAUCUCACCGAACAUGAAUUACGUUUCCUAUUUAAUCAACCCAUAUUGUCAAAUUAAAAUCAAGUUGGAUGAAACAAUGGAUACAAAAAGACACACCCAUUCAUGUGUGCAUCAACACAAUAACUGGUCGAACAUUCGGACUCCCUCCCUUUUCGAAUGUUCUUGCUAUCAGGCAAAUGUUACUAAACAUGAGAGGCAAAUGUUCAUAACAUCAUAUAGGGCUUGUUGUGGACAGGCCGUCUCCUCUUCACACACUAAUCUUCCCACCGAGACACCAUUCUAUGUCCUAUGUCAGAUCCUCCUGACCAUGUGUCUGUCUUUGAGGAGAAAUGGAAGUGUCUUGCCAGACCUGAACACUGAGCCCAGACAGACAGCCUAAAUCCCACACACUACCCAGGAGAUGACCCACGUCACUGACAGGUCAGACAAGACAUUUUAGCCCAUUAAAAAACAUUUACUGAAAGAGACAACAGAUGUACUAAUUGUUUAAGACAGUGAAUGUUAUAUGAAGAUGUAUACUCUAAAUAAAGAAUGUGUAGGUUAUAUGAAGGAUGUGUAGGUUAAAUGAAGAAUGUGUAGGUUAUAUGAAGGAUGUAGGUUAUAUGAAAAAUGUGUAGGUUAUAUGAAGGAUGUGUAGGUUAUAUGAAGAAUGUGUAGGUUAUAUGAGGAAUGUGUAGGUUAUAUGAAGAAUGUGUAGGUUAUAUGAAGAAUGUGUAGGUUAUAUGAAGAAUGUGUAGGUUAUAUGAAGAAUGUGUAGGUUAUAUGAAGAAUGUGUAGGUUAUAUGAGGAAUGUGUAGGUUAUAUGAAGAACGUGUAGGUUAUAUGAAGGAUGUGUAUGUUAUAUGAAGGAUAUGAUGGCCAUGUGAAUGACAAGUCAGCUAUAUGAUGG
ensembl:lncRNA